GGAUUAGAUACCCUGGUAGUCCACGCCCUAAACGAUGCGAACUGGAUGUUGGGUGCAAUUAGGCACUCAGUAUCGAAGCUAACGCGUUAAGUUCGCCGCCUGGGAAGUACGGUCGCAAGACUGAAACUCAAAGGAAUUGACGGGGGCCCGCACAAGCGGUGGAGUAUGUGGUUUAAUUCGAUGCAACGCGAAGAACCUUACCUGGCCUUGACAUGUCUGGAACCCCUUGAGAGAUCGAGGGGUGCCUUCGGGAACCAGAACACAGGUGCUGCAUGGCUGUCGUCAGCUCGUGUCGUGAGAUGUUGGGUUAAGUCCCGCAACGAGCGCAACCCUUGUCCUUAGUUGCCAGCACGUAAUGGUGGGAACUCUAAGGAGACCGCCGGUGACAAAC
rnacentral:rRNA from 1 species